UAGGGAAUCUUCUGCAAUGGACGCAAGUCUGACGGAGCAACGCCGCGUGAGUGAAGAAGGAUUUCGGUUCGUAAAACUCUGUUGUUAGAGAAGAACAGCGCAUAGAGUAACUGUUAUGCGUGUGACGGUAUCUAACCAGAAAGCCACGGCUAACUACGUGCCAGCAGCCGCGGUAAUACGUAGGUGGCAAGCGUUGUCCGGAUUUAUUGGGCGUAAAGCGAGCGCAGGCGGUCAAUUAAGUCGGAUGUGAAAGCCCCCGGCUCAACCGGGGAGGGUCAUUGGAAACUGGUUGACUUGAGUGCAGAAGAGGAGAGUGGAAUUCCAUGUGUAGCGGUGAAAUGCGUAGAUAUAUGGAGGAACACCAGUGGCGAAGGCGACUCUCUGGUCUGUAACUGACGCUGAGGCUCGAAAGCGUGGGUAGCAAACAGG
rnacentral:rRNA from 1 species